GUGCUCACUUCGGCAGCACAUAUAUUAAAAUUGGAAUGAUACAGAGAAGAUUAGCAUGGCCCCUGACAUAGUGAAUGGGCCACAAUGAGUUAAAAUGACCCACGGCUCA